rnacentral:rRNA from 1 species
GACGUAGGGUGCUAGCGUUGUCCGGAAUCAUUGGGCGUAAAGAGCGCGUAGGCGGCUAGAUAAGUCCGGUGUGAAAGUCACAGGCUCAACCUGUGAAUGCCGCUGGAAACUGUCUGGCUAGAGUCCGGAAGGGGCGAGUGGAAUUCCUGGUGUAGCGGUGAAAUGCGCAGAUAUCAGGAGGAACACCAAUGGCGAAGGCAGCUCGCUGGGACGGUACUGACGCUGAGGCGCGAAAGCGUGGGGAGCAAACAGG